CAAAUAAACUACAAUUGCACUCACACUGUAGACUGGUUACACAACUGGCACUAAGAACGAGUUACACAACUGGACUUUGAAAGUGGUCCAAACACCCCUAAACAAAGAUUAAAACGUUAGCAGUAUAAUAUUUGACUCUUCUGUUUUGGAAGCAGUACGAAUUGUCAUAUAUACUGUAUAUAAAUCAAGGUGGGGUCAUGCAAAGUUACCUUCAUCGAUAUUUUCUCAGGUCUCCUGAAUUUAAAUUAAUUGAAAAAUCGUGGGGGUGGGGGAUGAAAGGAGAGAGAGGCGGGUAACUAAAAUAAAGUAAAUAUAUGCUCCUAAAAUCAUGCCUAAAAUAAAUGAAGCAAUAAUUAUACCCUUAAUUUGAAUUAUGGUACAUAAAUUGAAAAUUGAUAUGCUUAAAUGUAAUAAACACAAACCUUAAACAUGAGAGGUAAUAAGGUUUGCUAUAUGGUAUAAAUAGGUAAAAAUCCCUUUAAUUUGCAUAAGAUGAGCAGACAACCUUUCAAAGAGGCUCAUGCCAAUUAUAUGUCAACUGAUCCAUAGCCCAUAACGCGUCAGCCUCUUAUUGGGCCAGUUUGAAGGCCCAAAACGCUGAAAGUCUCACUGAGGCAACUUUUGUUUAAAAUCAAUACUUAUUUGAAUAUUUUAGCAAUGAUGCAUUUAUUUACCAAUUAAUUAGGGCAACCCCCACUUCCAACCAAGAGGUUGUGAGUUCGAGUCUCCCCAAGAGCAAAGGUGGGAAGNNNNNNNNNNNNNNNNNNNNNNNNNNNNNNNNNNNNNNNNNNNNNNNNNNNNNNNNNNNNNNNNNNNNNNNNNNNNNNNNNNNNNNNNNNNNNNNNNNNNNNNNNNNNNNNNNNNNNNNNNNNNNNNNNNNNNNNNNNNNNNNNNNNNNNNNNNNNNNNNNNNNNNNNNNNNNNNNNNNNNNNNNNNNNNNNNNNNNNNNNNNNNNNNNNNNNNNNNNNNNNNNNNNNNNNNNNNNNNNNNNNNNNNNNNNNNNNNNNNNNNNNNNNNNNNNNNNNNNNNNNNNNNNNNNNNNNNNNNNNNNNNNNNNNNNNNNNNNNCAGCCUCUCUACCCCAGGGUAGAGGUAAGGUCUGCGUACAUACUACCCUCCCAAGACCCCACUAAGUGGGAUUAUACUGGGUUGUACUUUUUUUUAGUUGCUCUAGGUUACCCUUUAAAAUAAAAUGAGGUGCGCCACGCGAAACAAAAAUCAUACAUUGCAUGGCCCUCUUAAUCAAAUUAAAAAUUCUUAGAAUUCGGGACGUGUCGUUUAGCGAAUCUCAUGGCCUCCUGCAAAGUUAAUAAUACGCUAGUCGCUUUAGGUGCUUUUUAAAUAAUUUUACCUUCCUAAAGAUGGGUGUCCAUUUCAUGCGGCCGAAAUCCAAAUCCCAAAACGUUGAAUAAGAAUGUGUCGAGGAUCCGGGUUCACUUAUGUGACGUGAUCCAAAAAUACGUUUUUAAAAGACGUUCACUUUCCAGAAAAAUAUUUAACUAAAAGAGGUAAAUAAUUCUAAAAUUUCACUGUAGGAUGACACGUAAAAAUCAACUUUUAGCCAUUUAUAAUAAUUAAGUGACCGUGCUAGAACCACGGGAUCCAGGGAUGCCUAACACCUUCCCUCGGGUCAACAGAAUUUCUUAUUCAGAAUUUCUCGUUCACAGAUUCCAAUUGGAAAGUCAAAAGUUUGCCUCGAUUCGGGAUUCAAAAUAAACCGGUGACUUGGGAAACCAAAAGCCAAACAUAUCCCAAGUGGUGACUCUAAAAAUAAAUAAAUAAUCUCAUUUCGAAUAGUGUCGCUUAAAAUGAAAAAACUCCCUUGUACAUUCAUCCUUCAGGUGUUUAAAAAGGAGGCGUGACAGCUCUGGCAACUCUGCUGGGGACGCAAACCCAGAACUUGAGUUCAGGGUUUAAGAAUUCGAGCAUAUUAUAAUUGUUAUAUUUGGCUUUAUCUGAUUUUCCUACGUGUUCCAUGCUAUACGUGCUAAAUGUUUUACCGCCUUGAUAUGUGUUGAAUUGUAUAUAUAAAUUGAGACGAAUCCCUUCCUCUCUCUGAGUUUUCUACAUCAUGGAGAAGGGUGCACUUCGUGUAGCUUCUCUUAUAUUUAGAGUCUUUUGCCUUUUAGAAUGAGGUUCGAAUAAGUUGCUAAGCCGGUGGAGCUUCUGUAUCCCUGGUAUGCUGCCCCCAGCUCGAGUUAUCAGCUCGGGUAAGCCAGGUCUAGAACAAUUAACCUAGGGAUUAAACCUAGUAUAACAAAGCCUCAUGCCGGAACCCUAGUAGGAACGUUUGUUUGUAUCAUGUGCAUUUGGACUUAGGGCACUCAACACAGGGGUUGGGUCCGUCUAGGACAGGUAACCCAAAAUGAAAGACCAUCCUGAUGCAUCUUGCGUGCUACUUGCGCAUCUAUUUGCUCGGAUUUUCAUGUUGAUAGGCUUUUGUCUAAUGAGAGAAAAUUGAGAAAAUAGCAGUGUUAAGACUACGUGAGGGUAACUACUUGUUUUGAAAAAACCAAUGCCCAAAUAGAACCGAAAUGAUGCCGGAUUUUUGAAAAAAUAAAUAAAAAGGAAAAUAUUUGAAAAAAAGAAAAGAUUGUUGGUCAAAAAAUUAUAUUUGACUUUGGCAAAUUGCCCGAACUACGCUGGUUUAAUUCUUACCGGAUGUGAGAUACGUCGGCAAACCUCAUCGGGUCAAACCUCCCUUUUGCAAAAAUAGCCCAAAAAAAUAUCAAAAUUUUAAUUUUGUCAUAAGUAAGUCGGGUGAUGCCAUUCUUGUUUAAAAUAAGAAGGUUGUUUUUGCAAGAAUAGCCACCAUGAGUAUUUUUAAAUAGUUUGGGGGCACAACCUUAAAAUCUUCUUCCCAGAAGUGCUGAAAGACCGUAUUUGCAAAACCAAGUUCUUGUUUUCCUAAAUGAAAAAAGUUUCUACAAAAAUAGCCAUUUUUGUCUUUUAGGACAAAAGAAAUCAUUAAAUCCUCUUUAAAUAAAUGUUGAGGAUGAAUACCACCAACAUUGAACCCUUCUCAGUCCUGAGUGAGAUCCCUUUGAAGCUCCACAUAUAGUGGAAUGAUUGAGGAAAAGAUAGCAGAGAAACCGUGGUCAAGAUUUUGGGUAGUCUCGUUGGAUUGUUGGACAUAAAACCAUGAACAGAUAUAAUUGAAGCACUAAUACCAUUCUGGGGCCCAACUUGUAAUUUAUUUCGGUUCUCGGAUUUUGAACUUACACCUACACUAAAGGAGAUUGCGGGAUAUGCGGGUCUCAACGGGAACCUCAGGAGUAGCUAUCCAUCCGCACCGAGACCGGUAACUGUCCUUAGAUUCUUGGACCAGUUGAGCAUUCGUCGGGACAUUCAAGAUAAGCAUCUCUCAGAAGGGUGUUGUACACUUCAUUUCUUUUACCACUGAUAUGGCAACCCGAAAGGUUUUGAGGAACCCAACAUAGUUUGACAUAUGCUGGGAACAAAGAUAAAUGAGAGGCUCGGCGGGGAUUGGCAUUCAUGGUAGCUUUUAUGGGAAUCGUGGUUUUUCCAAGAAAAGACGGUCACAUAGACAUGGGCCUUGUGGGAAUGUUGGAUGUCACUGUAAACAAGCCUACUAGAACAGUGGGUCCCUUGAUUAUGGCGGAAAUGUAUCGAGCCUUAACCAUGUGCCGAGAGGGUAUGAAAUUCUUCCAGGGUUACAGGAGCACCUUUGUCAUCGCACGGGGUAUAUGAACUAUGGUCUAACCAGUCUAAGUUGUAUUACGGAGUUCGAAACUAGGGUAACAAGUAUUGAGUUCCCCAAGGGCACUGAGGCUUGGUUGUCUUGCGUGAGAUCUUUGGCUGCGGGUAAAGUCGAAUAUACUUUCGGAUGGCUUCCUGCUACUGAGGUUGUGUACACAUCGACAAAGGUACCUUAUAUUCUUUUGAUGGGUGUUUGAAGCAUUCAACCUUACCCUCCCCACCGAGUCUUGAGGAAACUUGGAAGAUUGCAAAUCGUCCACGGUGGACCUCAGCGGACAAAUCAUUGAGUUAGGACUAAAAGCUGCAUUUUCGAAAGAUAAAGUCUGACAAAUAUGGAAUGAGUGCAGAUACCUUGAGCCUAUGACUAUAGUAUAGGAUUUGGCUAGAGGUGAAGUGGACCCCAAAUAUUUGACCUGGUUUGGCAAAAUAUUUCAAAUCCCUAAGAGACCCGCCAAAAGGCCACAUGUACAACAAUUCACAGACAGGGCCCAGGUGCAGUAGGAGUGGCUAGCCAAAGAAAAGGAAUACCAAGUGAAAAUAGGGAAGUUGGAGCAACAGGUCCGAGAUCUUUAAUUUGAAAAGAGUGUGUAAGCUGCAGUUAAUGAAGUUGAUAAAAAGAAACUGGCCCAAGAGAAUGAAGCUCUUAAGGCUCAAAUUCAACAAAUGAAAAUAGCUGCCAAAAAUCGAGAAAGAAGUUGUUCUGAUGAGAGGUUGAUAAAAGAGCUAAAGAAACAAGUCAUAGAAUACUAGGAAGAAUUGGAGAAAUCUGAAGAGAACAUGGCAAAGCUUUGGGCACAGUGGGCAAAGAAGACAUAGGAAAGAGCUCAGUUUGUACAAUAAAUGAAAAGAAAUAAUGAGGGAACCAUUGUUAAUAUGAAAAGGAAAAUGAACGCCUUUGAAAACAAUGCUAUGGGCUAAUCGCCGAAAUGGAGAAGGAAAUAAAACUGUUGCAAGACCAGAACUUCCAUGACUCCCAGGUGUUAGAGGCUCGUAACCAGCAGAUAAGCCAGCUACUCCAAGAAAAGGGCCGGAUUAGGGAAAGAAUCAGAGGUAUUGCACAUUCUACUAUCAUGAAAUGUCGGGCCGGUGAACGAAUGGGUCGUACCACUUUCUUUGCUACAGUGAUGAUAUUUCUUCAUCAGGUUUUGAAUAAUCUAGAGCAGUUACAAAGGGGUAUUGCACGUAGGCCCGCGGAGAUGCCGAAUUAUGCCCCGCGGGCCCCAUGAUUUGAAGCUUUAAUGUACUUUUGAUCUAGUUAUCGAGUAUGUAUUUUGUUAUUUCGAGUCUAUUUUGUAAUUUUCAUUUUAAGAAAUCAAACGGUCUAGUAUCUUUGUAAUCAGAGUUUUAUUAAUGUAAUAAGAGUUUUAUUAAUGAAAAAUUGAAAAUUUCAAAAAUUGUUUCCUUAUCUUGCAUUCGUUUUGCAUGAACUACGCCUGGUCUGAUUCAUGCUGGGUCAUGAUAUGUAGGAAAUAUCCAUAGGAUUAGACCGUUACCAAAUGAAAAAGAUAAAGGAAAGAGAGAAAAAAUAGGAGAGAAACAAGAAAAGAAAGAGAAUGAAAAGAAAGAGGUGAAAAACAAGAGAUAAAGAAAAACAAAAGAGAUAGAAAGAAAAACCGAAAAGAAAAUAAGAAAUCAAACGAAAGAAACAAAGGCAUAAGUGAGGAAAAGAUGAAAGGAAACAAAAACCAAACAAUGUUUCAAUCGGAAAUAAGGAAAGCCGGGAUGAUGCAAGCAGUCGAGGAAAUGCAUAAUAGAAUCUGUUAACUGCUUAGGUACAUUCAUUCCCCCAAACAUGCGGUUAUCGAAUCUGUUAAUUCCCAUACCACUAACUAAGUUGGUGUUAACAUUGAGUUCAGGCAGGUGGUUAGUUGAUUGGCAUUCUGGAAAUCCAUUCUUACUACACUCGAUCAAAAGACAAGCUAAAAAUGAUAUGCCAAGAAUCAGAUACCAGUAUUGUGGACCCGACAAAAGAGGUAGAGGUGAUGAAUGUUAACGCAAUGAGGGAAGAAAUGUAUAAGAUGAGGCAGCAAAUUGCCGAAAUGCAUCAGGCAUGGGCUAAAGGUGAGCCGGCGUCAGUUUAUCCCGCCAAUCCAACCUAUAUCCCACAUUUGGUUCAGUCUCAGGAGCCUUCUACUGUGAACUCAUCUCCCGCUUUCCCUUUCUACCAACAGAGUUCUGGCACCACCUCUGUCACACCUCCUGUGUAAGGGUAUAUAGAAGUUCUUUCAAUUAAAGGAUAAUCGAAACGGAAUUUAUUAUUAAGAUUCAGAGUCACCACUUGGGAAAUUAAUAGUGUCACAAGUUACUGGUUGAACCCUGAAUCGAGGAAAAUAUGACUCUAUUUAAUAGUCCGCGAGCCAAAAAUCCGAGAAAGAAAUUCUGUUAACCUGGGAGAAGGUGUUAGGCAUUCCCGGGUUCCAUGCUCUAGCACGGUCAUUCAACUGCUAUAUUGGCUUAGUUAUCUGAUUUUAACACAUUUUGAACCUUUAUGCCGAUUUUAGAUUUUGACCACUUUUAUUCAAUUUUUUUAAAAAAAGUUGAACAUUGUUUAAAACGUGUCUUUAGAUCGCGUCACAUGAAAUGCACCCGCAAUCCUGAACACAUUUUAUUCAACAUUUUGGGAUUUGAUUUGGGUCACAUGAAAUGUACACUGGAACGUAGGAAAAUAACAUUAUUAAAUACGCGCAUAAUGCAACUAAUGCAUUAUUAUCUUUGAGGAAGGCCAUAAAAUCGCUAAACGGCCCAUCCCGAAUUCUAAGUAUUUUAAUAUAGAUAUUUAAAAAAGGCCACGUAAUUUAUGCAUUUUGUUUGGUGAGGCUCAUCUCAUGUUUAUUAUGCAAAAGCCAACCUAAAAGCAAUCUAUCAUUUGUCUAUUGAAUUUGUCUCUUAAAGGACCUAGUUAGUUAACAUUAUAAAAUUCGGACCUCAAGUUCAUGUCCGGAUCCAAACAAAAGGAAGAAGCCUCUUCAUUUGAACCCGCAACCUAAAUCAAAGGUCCUAAAUUUACAUUAUUUUAAAUUACGAUUUAAGGCCUUUAAGCCCAAAAUUAAACUAGAGAAUUUUAGGUAGCUUUGAUGAGGGUGGGCCUGUUCAAAAGGCCUGAACUGAAAGUAAGCUGAACUUACAACUAAAAUUAACUAAGCAAGUAAAAUUAACCCAUCAGACUUUUAGAAAAUAAACAUCUUAUACUAAUCAAUUGACCAAUACAUGAAACAAUAGGCAUAAAUUAGGAAAGAAAAACCGAUUUCGGAUUUCAUGUCCAACCUAAACAACCUCUAAUCAUAAUUCCAAUUGACAGUGCAAUUUAGUACUCCAAUUACUUAAGUAUUUUCCUUGACUUCUAUGUUAUAGCUCUAGAUUAUUGUUCCUGAAGAACUAAAGUGUGUCAGUUUGCCAUUUUAACAUUUACAACGAUUAAAUGGAUCAACAAUUCACCCAAAAUGUGUUAAAAGUUCAGAACCUGACAUUACACUUAUGAAACUUAAACCCAAAUCAAAUUUCGUUUUUGAAAAACCUGUAAACUAGUAAAUACGGAUCAAUUUAUGCUUAUGCAAUUGUUAACUACACAUGAAGAACUAGCAUCAAUUUCUAUGUUUUUGUUGUUGUUAACAUUAAACUAAUAGUCAAACGAAAUUACACUAGAUUAACGAAUGUCUACAGUUCAAUAUAUAUCAAUCUAUUCAAAUCAGUUAGAAGUAGUUCUAAUUAAACAGUCCCCGGUCUAAUACAAACCAAACAAAUUAAAGCUAGAUAACUACACAUCAUUUGACUGACUAUAACUACAUGCAUCCAAACGAGCAUAUAUCUGGAAUACUAUUUCAUUUCAUUCUAAUUCGAGGCUACAUCAGUGUGAAUUCAAAGUGUGUACCUGAAAUUACAAUGAAAUAGAAGAGAGGAAGAUGAUCUGAAACAGUAGAUAGCAGACAAUAGAAAAAACUUUAGUCCAACACAGCCUCAAAAUCCCAGAAGUGAAAGAAGAAAAAGCAGCACCAGUAACAUGAUCUAAAUAGCCCAGAUAGAACCCAGCCAACUCGAAAUUACACCUUGAAUUACUUCUGCCAGUAUAUUACUCAAAAACAACAUGAAAUAACUCGAAAUUGGACUUCAAACUCUAGGAAUCAGAAUGAACAAUUAACUCGCCAUUAACCCAACAUUCCUUAAUGCAAUAGUACUUUUUUUUGAAUUUUCUCUCUCUUUUUUUUUUGUACUUUUUCUGAAGAUCUAAGAUCUAAAAGAGUUUUUGAAUUUGAAUUUCAAAUUAUCAAUUGAUGGAAACUAUAGAAUGUUUUUUGGGUAAAUAUUGGAUGCUAAAAACUUGUGAAUUAAGGCAUUGACACUGCCUUUUAUAGGCAAAAUGAGAGCAACCAUCAGAUUUUUAAUUUACACUAUUAGUCCCUCUUUUAUUUGUACUUUUUAGGUAGUUACUCCCUUAUUUACUGACUUAUUACCCAAGCUACCCCAUUAUGAAUCUGAAACUUCAACUAGAACCCCUUCUAGGUGUUUCUAGAAUUUUCUGAUUUCAGUUAUUACCAAAUUCCCUUUGUCCAAAAACUUAUACUACCCCUCAAUUCAACCUGAAAUUACCAACUCACUAUCAUCUAACCUAGCCCCCAUGAUUAACUAAAACCUAGAUUAUUUAGCCAUAACCAAAAUAAUUUCAGAAGCUACACGAUUGAAUUAAUAGCAAACUGAAAAUUAGUCUAGAUUCCUACUUCUAUCACUUUAUCAAUUAAACAAGAUUGACAAACAAAAUCAGACUAAACUUGAGUCAUGAAUUACCUAACUCACUUAAAUAUAAACUAUUAAAACACGAACACAAGAUUAACUAAUCAAAAUUACUAACUGAAAGCAGAAAAUAACAUCACUAAUCAAAAAUAAAAAACGAACCAGCAAAAUAAACAUGAACUAAAGUUAUGAUAAAAACAAGAACUAGCACAUGAAUACAACUACACACAGCUAAACAAAAUUAAACCAAAUUAAUCAUCAAAAAAAAAUGGAAACUCACUUAUUUAACUUCUAAAAUCCGGCUAAUUCUCAAAUUCUAAAUCCGACAUCUCUUGUGAAAUUUGAAUACUACUGAUGAUGAAUUCCUCAUGAGGGAAGUAAGGGGGUCACGUGGUAUCGAUUUGGUGAAGUUUGGAGAAUUUUGAGGUUUUGGCCGGAACUUUGAUCAGAUAUUUAAGGAGUUCGGCGGGGAUUCGAGGGACGGGGUUUGGAAAGAGGAGAACGAGGCGGUUUUAGGGUGUGAAUUUGAAGAGAUUGGGUAACUUUGGUUUUUUGCCGGAAUCUUUUGCGUCAAGAUUCGAAAGAACUGAUAGGGACUUGAGAGAAAUUGAUCAUGGAUUUGUAAUGAGAAGGUUGAAACGAUAUAGGGGUGUAAAUUUGGGGUGGUUUGGAGACCGGCCUCCGCCGUGGGCGAUUUUCGGCGAUGGCAGGCGGCAGAGAUGAAGAGGGGUCUCUAAGGGUAUGUUGAGGAUGAUGAGAGGGGGUUGGGGGGGAGGGGGGGUAGUUCGGAUAGUUAAAUAUCAAGAACACCCUACUUCAGGGUCGUUGGAUUGAGAUACC
rnacentral:lncRNA from 1 species